GGGUCGUGUCCCUCCAUUUUGGAUUCCUUCUCGCUGUCUGAGACUCAAUUGUGCAAAUAUGAGUGCGCGAGUAAGAUCAAGAUCUCAAAGAAGGGAGAUGGAAAAGUCUUCUAAGCUGGAUGAACCUGUGGCUGCUAAGCAAUCAAGUGAAAAAAACAUCAGAAGAAAAGGAACCAGCAACCAAGAAUCCAGAUAUUGAGCUUGGACAAGAGAAAGAAG